AGUGAACGCUGGCGGUAGGCCUAACACAUGCAAGUCGAACGGCAGCACAGUAAGAGCUUGCUCUUACGGGUGGCGAGUGGCGGACGGGUGAGGAAUACAUCGGAUUCUUCUUUUUCGUGGGGGAUAACGUAGGGAAACUUACGCUAAUACCGCAUACUACCUACGGGUGAAAUCAGGGGAUCUUCGGACCUUGCGCGUUUCAAUUAGCCGAUGUCGGAUUAGCUUGUUGGCGGGGUAAAGGCCCACCAAGGCGACGAUCCGUAGCUGGUCUGAGAGGAUGAUCAGCCACACUGGAACUGAGACACGGUCCAGACUCCUACGGGAGGCAGCAGUGGGGAAUAUUGGACAAUGGGCGCAAGCCUGAUCCAGCCAUACCGCGUGGGUGAAGAAGGCCUUCGGGUUGUAAAGCCCUUUUGUUGGGAAAGAAAAGCAGCAGGUUAAUACCCCGCUGUUCUGACGGUACCCAAAGAAUAAGCACCGGCUAACUUCGUG
rnacentral:rRNA from 1 species